rnacentral:lncRNA from 13 species
CUAUUCCCAGCAGUGGGUCACAACAAAUGUUCUGGAUUAAAAGAGAUUACGCCACACUCCUCACGCCAAUCAAAAAUAAACAGUAAGCGGACAGGCCAAGCAGAACAACAAACAAACAGCCUCCUUUAGAGAAGGUUGAAUUGAUUAACGAGGGAAGAAAAAAAAGACUAAAUUUAUUUUUACAAAACGCAUUCCUGUCAUAAAAUACGAUCUUCCAAAGGGGCAAUGAUGGAAGCAGUAGUUCAUCAGAGAAACAAAGACCCCAAAAAAUAUUGUUGAAUCCUUUUAGGCAUGAAUCAUUUAAUUCGACCCUGAUCUAAAAACAUUUAUUAUUUUGUCAUUACCGAUUAACACUGAGGAAAUCAGAGAGCGUCACCGGAGGUCAGGGGCCGUGUCAACUUCACAUCAAUCACCAUUCUGAUUGCUGUCAGUCUUCAGUUUUCUAAAUUACAGAUAGAGACCGACUCAAACAACCCAAAUUCAUAACAAACAGAGUGUUUAUUGGAAUAUGAAAACAGAAUGGGGCCUAAAUGCAUUAAAUCCACAGCUGGACAUCCUGGACAAAAACACAGAGUUGGGCUGAAGAAAAGUUUGCUCAUUUAGAGUAGGUAUAUUCUUCCCAAUAGCUAUUUCAUUUCAGUCAAGACCUCCAAAUCACCACCUGCAACCAAAACCUUUCCCUGAGUGUCAAUGCAGAUAAAUAGCUGGUAGAUCUUGUAACAGAGAGUCAUGAGUCUUUGUCCUUUAGCUACACGGUCAUGUAAUACCACAGGAUGUGUAGCUACUCAUCUCUCUUCAGACCAAGAACAGCAUAGGCUAAUGUUUUGUACUCAGAUCGUAGAGACUACUGGAUGAACUGACGGGAUGGGGGAAAUCAUGAUAUUAUCGUAUCCAAGAUGGCUGUGUACUCUAAAAUCGAGGAUGCUGGGUAUACAGCCUUUACCCUCUGACCCUGCCUCAACCUCCAAAGGCAUCUCCUGUAGCUGUUGCCGUGUUGGGCGGGUGCUCUUUCUGCGACUGUUGCCACCGAAGAAUCGUCUCCCUCGCUUCAUGUUUCUCUCUAAACAGACCGUGAAACAUCUUCCGUGACCGAGCAUGAUCUAUAUAGACAUUGAAGACGUGAAUUGUGACGUGGCCUAUGAAAUGGCAUUAGAAAUAUGACACAUUAAAUGUAAAUAAUUGUUUUCAUCCCCCCCCAUCUCCCUUUCAUCACAGAACCUCACUGUUUUGUCAUUUGUUGCAGACAAAAUUAUACACAUGUAAGUGAACAAUUUGAUAGUUUGCUAAUUGGAAUUCAUCCUCAGUUUCAGGGGUCAUGGGCUAAAAAGUGAUGAUGAUUGUGAUGAUGAUAUAGAGACACUGUCCCAAUCAAUCACAUUUUGGAAUAUAGUUUAAUAUUAUAUUGAAGUGAUAUAACUAACUUUAAUGUGCAAGAUGCCCAACCAUGUUGUAUGUAUUGUCUGUUUGCUUUGACAGACAGCCACCAUUUUCCUCACCAUUCAGUGUUUAUCCUCCUUUUAAUCUGACCGUUUUCAGGUUAUAAAUAAAAGACAAUGCUCUUUUGAGGCAACAAGAGAUGUUAAUAGAUGAGCCAGUGUUAUUACCACUCCGGCUCACUCACUCAUAGCUCAACCUCUUCUGCACAGAACAUUACAUAUACCGCAACACAAUUAUUUCAUUCAAUCUUCUUCGUCUGCUUUUAUGGGAAAUACAAGGUCACGGUAAAUAUUGCACGAUGAAUCUCACAUAUGUUUCAAUGUAAUAUGGAGAUCCGUUGCGUUUCUACAUGUGCAGUGUCAUUCAUUGAUUUAUGGCUCAAUUUAUUUUUUAUACACAAAAGAUGGAGGGAGAUACCUGGUGGUUGCUGCUCGUGCUUCUGUUGACUUCCCCCUGUUGGUAAGGAAGUGAACUACUACAGAUCUGUUCUUUCAGCGUACUGAGCGUACAGUUACUGUAGCAUCAGCAUUACCCUGGGCAAUGAAUAUCAGACAGUUGCCCACUUUCAAUUCACUUUGCAUCAUUCAUUCACACCUCUUGCAUGUUUAGGCCAACAUCUUUGUUCCCCGGGUGGAACUAGAGUCUUCAUCUCAUUUAAUUAAUCUGUCCUUUGUGUUGUUGUUGUUUGUCAAUGGUCAGGUCGUCUGUUGAUGUUACCCAGACUAUGCUUCGGUUGACCUAUACCUUUCUGUUUGGGCAGCUCUACAAUAGCUACAUAUCCUCUGUUCUCCUCCAGACCAAGACAGGUCUCAAUGGGCCAGUGACAGGAGCGGUAAGGGACUGACUGACGCUCGUCCAGGUGUGUAUAAUGCAUUCUGCCAGAGCCAACCCAUUCAGCAUGAAGGAAACGUGAGCAUGAUGAGAACCUGCCAGAAUCUGCCACCUGGUUCCAACGGUCACCUAGAAGGAACUGUCACUGGUCGCGUUCCCUUGCUCAGACGUUGCAUGCAUCAACCAAUGGUUGCGUGCCACGUCAUCGACUGCGCUGUCGGGCACCAGAUGGCAAAAACAUAUGUGGUUAGGUGAUAGGUAAAAUAUCUAUCCAGGCGGUGUGUAAGAUCUGGCUUCAGCAACAUCUGAGUAUGGGUACGUGAACAUUGUCUUAAAAAACAAAUAUGGCCACUCAGAGCAGACAGUGGAGCAGUGUAAUUAACUAAAUAUGACUAAUGAUUCCAUUCUACAAGGCUGAAUGAACACAGUUAUUAAUUCAUGUAUUAUUAUUUUUUAAACAUGGCUGUGUUGGCUUGAACUCUUGAAGUGGUGGCUUCCACUGUGAGGAGGGAGAGAGAGAGAGAGAUGGAGGGAGGGAGGGAGGAAUGGGUGUUGGGUGGAAGGUAGAGCAGCCGAGCUAUCCGUCUGAUUAGCGAACUGUCAGUCACAAGCUUGCCCUGUGCCAUGUUUCCAAACCUAUCACAUUGAACGCAGCUUAGAGAGAGACAGCAACCACUGUGAGAAAAUAAACCCACGCUAAUUGUCUUGAAGUUAAGAUGAGGUGCAGCAAAUUCAUCCAUAAUGGAGGAAAUGAAGUUGACACACG